CUACCAAGGAUUCCCCUAGUAACUGCGAGUGAAGCGGGAAAAGCUCAAAUUUGAAAUCUGGCAGUCUAUUUUUUCUUCUUUGGCUGUCCGAAUUGUAAUCUAGAGAAGUGCUUACCUGCACUGGACCAUGUAUAAGUCUCCUGGAAUGGAGCGUCGCAGAGGGUGAGAAUCCCGUCUUUGACAUGGACUGCCAGUGUGUUGUGGUGUGCUCUCAAAGAGUCGAGUUGUUUGGGAAUGCAGCUCUAAAUGGGUGGUAAACUCCAUCUAAAGCUAAAUAUUGGCGAGAGACCGAUAGCGAACAAGUACCGUGAGGGAAAGAUGAAAAGGACUUUGGAAAGAGAGUUAAACAGUAUGUGAAAUUGUUGAAAGGGAAACGCUUGAAGUCAGUUGUGUCGGUUAGGGAUCAACCUAGCUUUUUUUGCUGGGUGAAUUUCCUAGUCUGACAGGCCAACAUCAGUCUUGACUGCUGGAAAAGAGCAGGGGGAAUGUGGCACCUUUGGGUGUGUUAUAGCCUUUUGUCAUAUGUGGCAGUUGGGACUGAGGGAUGCAGCGUGCCGCGAGGCUGGGUUUCGACCACGUUCACGCUUAGGAUGUUGGCUUUUAAUGGCUUCAAUCGACCCGUCUUGAAACACGGACCAAGGAGUCUAACAUGCCUGCGAGUGUUUGGGUGGAAAACCCUUGCGCGCAAUGAAAGUGAAAGUUGAGAUCCCUGUCAUGGGGAGCAUCGACGCCCGGACUUGAGCUUUUAGCGACGGAUCCGCGGUAGAGCAUGCAUGUUGGGACCCGAAAGAUGGUGAACUAUGCCUGAAUAGGGCAAAGCCAGAGGAAACUCUGGUGGAGGCUCGUAGCGAUUCUGACGUGCAAAUCGAUCGUCAAAUUUGGGUAUAGGGG
rnacentral:rRNA from 1 species